UGUUUGGUUUCUUGUUUCGGUCUUGAGACAACAGUUACUCACGACUUUAAAAAUGACAAGCAAGAUUAUGAUUGAUUGAAGUCUGUAAGUCUUGUUUAUGUUCAAAGAUUGGAUAAUUGAAUCUGAUUGUCUAUAUAAUGCUGUCUGGGCAGCAUAACUUCAAGUCUCUGCAUAGAAUUGCCUUCAUUAAGGCUUUUCUAAUGAUGUCGUAAGAACGAGAAAUUCAAUGAUAUGCUUAUAAGACUUGUCUAAUGAUGUCUGAAUGGGGAAUUCUCUUGCAAGGAUGGAGGAAUAAGCAAGCAAGCUGUGAUUAACACUGUAACACUUGUCACAGUUCUAUAUAUUGCUAGGUGGGCAGCAUAACUUCAAGUUUCUGCAUGGAUUUGCCUUUAUUUUAAGGCUUUUCUAAAACUCAAUGAUCUGCAAAUUGAUGGAGAGUAAAUUCCAUGUUCUACUAUAGAACUCAAUGAUCUGCUUAUUGAUGGAGAAUAAAUGUUCUUUUAUAGAACUCAAUGAUCUGCUUAUUAAUAGAGAUAAAGUAUCUUUUAUAAGACUUGUCUAAUGAUAACUGAUUGGAAAAUGCAUUAAAACAUGUAGUUAAUCCUCUUUGCAUAGCUCUUGAAACUCUUCCUGUUAGCGAAGGCACAUCAUUGUGCAACGCUUGAUGGGUCGAGGCUCGAGCAAGGCGAGAAAGGGAGAGAGAGAUAAGGCACCAAAGGUAAGUCAUCACGAAUCUCACUGAGAUAUGAUAUUCAGUGGGACAUUUUGUUCUAACUUACAAUAUUCUGCAUUAAAAAGUCCAACGUGCAGACUGUAUCUUUCCCUCUUUUAAUCAGGUAAGUGUCUCUUUCGCCUUCCAAAACAAGGUAUGAUUUUCGUAAUAUUUUUCCUUGAUGGAGUUUUUAGUUCGUUAAUUGAUUACAACCUUAGAUCACAUAGUCUUUUAUAACUAUUUAUCUGUUUUUUUAGUUUCACAAGACCAAGAAAAUGGAGUAAGUGUACGUGAUCUUUCUCAGGAACCGUAAAGAAGGCAUUGUGUACAUGCGUAAGAUAGGCAUGAUUGGAGCUUUUGGGGUGUGCGUCGUCUUCAACACUCCUAUUUCCAAGUAAGUAGAUUCCGAAGUUUACUUAAUACAUUUACGCUUACGCAUGAAUAUUUUUAGAUAUUUUAGUAUUGUUGGCAUAUUUCUCCUUUGGCUGCAAAUUUAAUAUUUCCAUGUGUGUUUUUUUAGGUGGAUUAAUUUUUCCUUUAGAACCAAACCUCAAUUAAGCACCCACGUCUGUAGAGCACACUGAUACAAAUAUACGCAUAACACGAAUGCAUACACUAAACGUAAACAUACACACAAACGUAACUUUUGUGCUCACACUAAUACAAACAUAAAUACAUGACACGAACACAUACUCUAAAUGCAAUUGCUUAUAUUGUAUGAUGAAUGAGUGCUAAACAGAAGUUUAUGAAACUACUUACUAAGGUUUAUAGUUUAUAUAAGAGGCUUAUCAAUGAACUGUUAGAGAAGUUCAUUUCGUUUGAGGAGCGUUACAACACUCAGCUUGCAGCCCUUACCGCAAGUUGCUCCAAAAUCACGUCAGCUCAUAAUACUUAUGCUGACCGAGUCGACACUUUUACUCCAAGGACUUUGCGAACCUCAAGAUCAAGAGGGCGUUUAGAGUUUUUACGACCCUAUCCACCCGACCCUCUGAGUUUCUCAAACUACGUACUGCAAGGCCUCAGCUCCCAAAGUGUAACCGGAGGAAGUUCUCAGCAACCACCAACUGCUCAAAUACCUACCACUUCUGUAGGCUUCAAUGCUUCUAUAACCCAUUAUAGCAAACACUAAUAGAUAACUUUGAAGAAAAUCAAUAUGAUCCCAAAAGAACAAACUAUCCUGGUUUUUCUAUUCUUCAAUCCUAAUUUCCCAAGUUCAACACCAUUUUAGAUCACAUUGUUCACAUCAUAAAUAACUUUGAAAGAAACCAACAAGUUACAUUCUAAACAUUUCGUCCUUUGAAAACUCUUAAAAACACAUUAUUAAUUAAGCAUCAAAGAUUAAUCAUACAGUCACUUUACCUCACAAUUUUAGCAACAAACUCAUCAAUAUUCUUAUCAGAAUUUCCUCCAUCAGACAAAGCUUCCCUUGCAAACUCCAUCAACCUCCGAGCAUUUUUUCUAAUCUCCUUCCCUUUCUCCGACAUAUCUUCCAUAACUUCUCCAACACAUCUCACAAUCUCUUCCUUCGGAACAAACCCAUUUUGAUCUGCCUUAACCCUAACCCCAACCUUCCACACAUCUUCAAUAAACUUAGCAUUAGUCGGCUGGUCGCUAUAAGCCGGCAUUCCUAUCAAAGCAACUCCUAAGCUCAAUGCCUCUAAAGUCGAAUUCCACCCGCAAUGAGUCAUGAAACAACCGAUUGAUUUAUGUGCAAGAACUUGUAAUUGAGGACUCCAAUUCACUAUCAAUCCCUUGUCACAAAUGUCCUCUAUGUAAUUGCUUGGAAGCUUCUUUGUUUCAGUUUCUCUAACAACCCAUAAGAAGUUAUGGCCAGUUUGUUUUAGACCAGCCGCGACUUCUAUCAUUUGAUCGUCUUUUAAGACGGCCAAGCUUCCAAAAGACACGUAGAUCACUGAACCGGGCGGUUUUGAGUCAAGCCAAUCAAGGCAUUCGUUGACUUGGGCAUUGAAGAGGUUGAUUCCGUAGUCUUUGUCACCUGCUAAUCGUUUGUCUAAGUACAUUGAUGGAAUCAUCGGUCCUAUGUUCUUGACCGGCCAUUGGUUUUUCAUCCAUUGUAGCACCUGAAAAAAGGAUUAAUACACGCAUUAAAGAAACGUUGAUAGGUUGAUUGUAUAUAAGAUCAGUUUCAAAAUCAAUCAAAUCAAUUUCAUGCAUGCUUUUAUGUACUUCAUUAAUUACAAUCAUAACAUUUAUUGCAUCUAUAAUAAUUGGUUGUCACCAGUAUAUGACCCACGUCAACUAUUUUCUUCCUAAAACAAGGAAACCUGUUUCAUUUUGAAAUUGAUAGAUAAGCUGAAACCCAUAAGGCCAUACCCCAAAAAGACACUUUGACAUGUAAAUGUGUCAAUCAACCGUCCCGAGUCUCCCGACCUAUCGUGAAAGCUUUCGGACUAAAAUUCCUAGUUUGAACCAAACAUGACCACGUUUUCUAAUAUCAGGAUUUCAGGCUUAGAAAGGACUUCAAGAACAUUAGAUGAAUAGGGACCAGUGGAAGUAAUAAAGACACAAUAAAAAAGGUAUCAUUCCCUUUAAUACACGCAUUAAAGCAAUUUAGCAAGUAUUUUUAAAAACAAAUGUCACAUUUAUACAGUAAUUUGCGAAAAUGCAAACAUCGUUAAGAAAAAUAUGAAAUAAACUAAUGAAUUAAACCAAAAGAAUAAAGGAUAAAACUAAACUAAUGAAACUAGAAUUAAAAAAUAAAUCAAAUUGUUGUGCAAAAUCUCAAUUUGGUCAGGGACACAUCCCCACAUGCCUAGCCAGUAUGUAUGCUUUCAAUGGAAAGGUAAACGGCGUGACACGUAUGUAUAUUUGAGACGAUAUUCGUUUUCUGGCUACAUAUUUGCCACGUUAAAUUAAGACCCCAACCAAUUGCAUAAGAUAUAUUAUAAGUAAUCUGCACCUUGGGAUUUUCGCCCCAAUCGAUAUAUCUAUAUCUUUCGGCCCCAAGAUGAAUGAUGUUCUUUUUGUCCGUUGAAAUAAUGAUGUGUUUUCUAUCUAAUAUCUUUUUGCUAUUAUUAUGUACCAACAUCGAAUUAAAAAAAUUUCACCACGAACCUAGAAAGCUACAAGUCUAGCUACAACUAUAUUGGAAUAAGGACUUAUUUCACAUCAUAUACUAAUUGGUUCAGUAAGAUAGUAGUAUAUAUCAUCCACAAUUAUAUCACCUCCAAAUAUUUUUAUUUGGAUUGCAUUUUGCAGAUAAUUAAGAAAAAUACAAUAAACAACAAAACUCUAAAGUUGAGAAUUACCUCGACUUCGAGUUCGUCGAAAGAGUUAACCAAGAAGAAGUCAAUGUCGUCAACAUUCACGAACUGGCUACUAAUGAGCUCAAACAACGGCCGGCAGAGAUUGUUAUCGUACAGAAACACCGGUAAGUCAUUACCCUUCAGCGGAGGCAUUGCAGGCAAAACGACAUCAUUUUGAAACUCCUUAAACUCUCCACGCAAGAAAUGAAUAUAGGUCGCGUUCACGGUGGAGGACUGAGUGAAAAACGACGCCGCAGCAACGCCAGGAUGUUUCCGGCAAACGUCGAGGACAUAAGGCAGGCACGAGUCGUAAACGACGGCGUUUGGUUUUGGGUCCAUCGAGGAGAUAAGCUCUGAGAGGCUUCGAGAUACGUUUUCUUGGAACUUUGCGAAGUAGUCGGGAGAUGUGUCCGUAGAUGGGUGAUCUUCCUCGAAUCCAUCGUCAAUGGGGACAAAAGAGAGAGGAAGAGCAGUGGCUCCGCCGGUGAUGGCACGGCGGAGGAUGGAGUUGUGGGUGGAGGAAGUGGUGAGGAAUGUGACGUUGACGUUUUUAGAGAGUAGGCGUUUUGAGAAUUGGAGGAGAGGGUUUAUGUGACCUUGUAUCGGAAAUGAGAAGACUAACACAUUUGCUUUCGCUUUCUCUCCCAUUGUUUUUCUCUUCUUUUUGUUGAAAUUUGUUACAUACAAACUCUUACUCUGUUAUGACGGAAGUAUUUAUCGGAUAUAUGCAAGUAUGCAACGUAGAAAAUAGUAGUUAUAGGCAACUUUAAUAUAAAAGAUUUGUUUCUAUAUGUCUCUUUACCAAAUAGAAAAGUUAAAA